AGGAAACGAAGACAAACCUUCAUCUGCAGAUGCCAGAUCAAGGGUGCAGAUGUUCAGAGGGCUAUAAAAAACAGAUGUGAACACUUAGUGCACCUUAUGCAUUCAGUUGCUGCAUUGCUACUAUUCUAACUAUUUCUCUUGGAAGAUCAGGAAUCAAAGCUGUCAAAAGGCAGAAAAGUUUGAAAAGGACAAGGAAAGGAGUUAGAGAAGACCUGAAGAAUGGGAACAUACCUUGCUUCAGUGGUCACCAGAAAUGGCACACUGAGAAAAGGAACUGUAACAACUCAAGCAGAGUCCUUCUUUUGUUCUGUGGAUUCAUUAUUUCACCUGGCUCAAAUUCAAGCAUCUUCUUCAGCACUUAGUGCUGUUAAAUAUCCUGUCUUUGCAGACCAGAGUGAAGCCUCAAGCUGUAACAUCCAGAUCAAGAAAAGUUCAUCUUCUACUGGCCUUGUACUGGCCAAUUGAAGAGACCUCUGUGUGAAACAGUGUGUGGACUUUUGGGAAGAAGACAAAUAAGAUGAGGAGAAAGAUGCCACCCUCUGUGGCACAUCCUACAAAUGGGUUUUUCUGGUAAACUGGGCCCCCAGCUUUCUAAAUGUAUGAUUAUACCCACUGUAGUUUUAUGCUUGAACCAGUUUGGUGCCCAGAUUGAAAUAGAUCUAUAAUGCAUUUCACCAGUUAUCUCCUCUUCCCCAGAAGAGG